rnacentral:rRNA from 1 species
UACGGAAGGCAGCAGUGGGGAAUAUUGCACAAUGGGCGCAAGCCUGAUGCAGCCAUGCCGCGUGUAUGAAGAAGGCCUUCGGGUUGUAAAGUACUUUCAGUCGUGAGGAAGGUGUUAAGGUUAAUAACCUUAGCAAUUGACGUUAGCGACAGAAGAAGCACCGGCUAACUCCGUGCCAGCAGCCGCGGUAAUACGGAGAGGGCUAGCGUUAUUCGGAAUUAUUGGGCGUAAAGAGCGCGUAGGCUGAUUAGUAAGUUAAAAGUGAAAUCCCAAAGCUUAACUUUGGAAUUGCUUUUUAAAACUGCUAGUCUAGAGAUUGAAAGAGGAUAGAGGAAUUCCUAGUGUAGAGGUGAAAUUCGUAAAUAUUAGGAGGAACACCAGUGGCGAAGGCGUCUAUCUGGUUCAAAUCUGACGCUGAGGCGCGAAGGCGUGGGGAGCAAACAGGGAUUAGAUACC